CCUACGGGUGGCAGCAGUGGGGAAUAUUGGACAAUGGGCGAAAGCCUGAUCCAGCCAUGCCGCGUGUGUGAAGAAGGCCUUCGGGUUGUAAAGCACUUUCAGUGGGGAAGAAAGCCUUGGGGCUAAUACCCUCGAGGAAGGACAUCACCCACAGAAGAAGCACCGGCUAACUCCGUGCCAGCAGCCGCGGUAAUACGGAGGGUGCGAGCGUUAAUCGGAAUUACUGGGCGUCAAGCGCGCGUAGGCGGUCUGAUAAGCCGGUUGUGAAAGCCCCGGGCUCAACCUGGGAACGGCAUCCGGAACUGUCAGGCUAGAGUGCAGGAGAGGAAGGUAGAAUUCCCGGUGUAGCGGUGAAAUGCGUAGAGAUCGGGAGGAAUACCAGUGGCGAAGGCGGCCUUCUGGACUGACACUGACGCUGAGGUGCGAAAGCGUGGGUAGCAAACAGGAUUAGAUACCCCAGUAGUC
rnacentral:rRNA from 1 species